rnacentral:rRNA from 1 species
UGUGGUGGCGAUAGCAAGAAGGAUACACCUGUUCCCAUGCCGAACACAGAAGUUAAGCUUCUUCACGCCGAGAGUAAGAAGCACAUUAUUUCGGAAAAUGCAGCGG